GUGGCCAAGUUAUGUAGGGCACAUGGUGGAUGCCUUGGUACCAGGGGCCGAUGAAGGACGUGGGAGGCCGCGAUAGUCCUCGAGGAGCUGUCAACCGAGCUGUGAUCCGAGGGUGUCCGAAUGGGGAAACCCAGCCCGAGUGAUGUCGGGUUACUCAUGCCUGAAUGUAUAGGGUAUGAGGGGGAACGCGGGGAAGUGAAACAUCUUAGUACCCGUAGGAAGAGAAAACACUGGUGAUUCCGUGAGUAGUGGCGAGCGAAAGCGGAGGAGGCUAAACCGUGCGCGUGGGAUACCUGGUAGGGGUUGCGUGUGCGGGGUUGUGGGGCACUGUUGGAGGCGGCUACCGACGUCUCAGCGUGGUGUUUCGUGUUAGUUGAACAGGUUGGGAAACCUGGCCGUAGACGGUGAGAGCCCGGUAGGCGAAAAUGCGAUUCAUGCGUGUGAUGGUGUUCCCGAGUAGCAGCGUUUCCGUGGAGGGUGCUGUGAAUCUGGCGGGACCACUCGCUAAGCCUAAAUACUUCCUGGUGACCGAUAGUGGAUAGUACCGUGAGGGAAUGGUGAAAAGUACCCCGGGAGGGGAGUGAAAGAGUUCCUGAAACCGUGUGCCUGCAAACCGUCAGAGCAACCUUAGCAGUUGUGAUGGCGUGCCUUUUGAAGAAUGAGCCUGCGAGUUACUGCUGCGUGGCGAGGUUAACCCGUUGGGGGUAGCCGGAGCGAAAGCGAGUCUGAAUAGGGCGUCUGAGUCGCGUGGUGUAGACCCGAAGCGGAGUGAUCUACCCAUGGCCAGGGUGAAGCGCGGGUAAGACCGUGUGGAGGCCCGAACCCACCAGGGUUGAAAACCUGGGGGAUGAGUUGUGGGUAGGGGUGAAAGGCCAAUCAAACUCCGUGAUAGCUGGUUCUCCCCGAAAUGCAUUUAGGUGCAGCGUUGCGUGUUGCUUGGGUGGGGUAGAGCACUGGUUGGUUGAUGGGCCUUCGCGGGUUACUGAGAUCAGCCAAACUCCGAAUACAUCUGAGUUGAGCGUGGCAGUGAGACGGUGGGGGAGAAGCUUCAUCGUCGAGAGGGAAACAGCCCAGAGCAUCGGCUAAGGCCCCUAAGUGUGCGCUUAGUGGGAAAGGAUGUGGGAUCGCUGAGACAACCAGGAGGUUGGCUUAGAAGCAGCCAUCCUUGAAAGAGUGCGUAAUAGCUCACUGGUCAAGUGGUCCUGCGCCGACAAUGUAGCGGGGCUGAAGCGCACCGCCGAAGCCAUGCCAAUAGCACAUUAGUGUUGUUGGGUAGGGGAGCGUCCUGCACGCGGUGAAGCAGCACUGGAAGGUGUUGUGGAGUGUGUGGGAGUGAGAAUGCAGGCAUGAGUAGCGAGUGAAGAGUGAGAAUCUCUUCCGCCGGAUGACCAAGGGUUCCUGGGGAAGGUUCGUCCGCCCAGGGUGAGUCGGGGCCUAAGGCGAGGCCGACAGGCGUAGUCGAUGGAUAACGGGUUGAUAUUCCCGUACCCGUGCAUACGCGUCCAUAGCGAAACCUUUGAUACUAACCAUCCGCUUGUCACAUGAGUCUUCGGACGAGUGUGAUGGGUGCAUGGGACCUGAUUGGGCGGUAGUUAAGUGAUGGGGUGACGCAGGAGGGUAGCUCUGCCAGUGAGUGGUUGUACUGGUGUAAGCCUGUAGCCCGGUGUGUAGGCAAAUCCGCACACCAUGUGGGUGAGGGGUGAUGCGUAGCCGUUGUGGUGAUGUGAGUGAUCCCAUGCUGUCGAGAAAAGCCUCUAGCGAGUGUGUGCAUGGCCCGUACCCGAAACCGACACAGGUGGUCAGGUAGAGUAUACCGAGGCGGUCGGGUGAACUGUGGUUAAGGAAUUCGGCAAAUUGCCCCCGUAACUUUGGGAGAAGGGGGGCCAUUGCUGGUGAACACCCUUGCGGUGGGAGCUGGUGGUGGUCGCAGAGGCCAGGGAGAAGCGACUGUUUACUAAAAACACAGGUCCAUGCGAAGCUGUAAGGCGAUGUAUAUGGACUGACGCCUGCCCGGUGCUGGAACGUUAAGAGGACCCGUGAACCCGUAAGGGUGUAGCGGAGAAUUUAAGCGCCAGUAAACGGCGGUGGUAACUAUAACCAUCCUAAGGUAGCGAAAUUCCUUGUCGGGUAAGUUCCGACCUGCACGAAUGGCGUAACGACUUCUCCGCUGUCUCGACCACAGGCCCGGUGAAAUUGCAGUACGAGUAAAGAUGCUCGUUUCGCGCGGCAGGACGGAAAGACCCCGGGACCUUUACUAUAGCUUGGUAUUGGUGUUUGGUUCGGCUUGUGUAGGAUAGGUGGGAGACUGUGAAGCAUUCACGCUAGUGGGUGUGGAGUCGUUGGUGAAAUACCACUCUGGUCGUUCUGGGCAUCUAACUCGGGUCCGUGAUCCGGAUCGGGGACA
rnacentral:rRNA from 1 species